GAGCGAGACUUGCGCGGGAUAGGCCUGGGCUCCUCGCAGGCCCCGCCUCCUCUGCGCUCAGGGCCGGCGAUGGCGGCGGGGCUGGCGAUUCCCAGAGCGCGGCACGUCUUUUGUCUUUCGCAAAGAAGAAUGGGGGAUUCAGAGCCAAAGAUGCUGUCAUCCAGUUUCCCGAGGGUCUGGUUCUGAGGAGAUCCUGUGAUGAGCCACUGUUGCUCUGCAUCCGCUAUGCAGUGGGUGCAGCUCUUCCUUCUAAGACAUUGUCUUGAACUAUAGAAGCUACCUCUUGCACACCCAUGGUGAUUGCUUUGAUUGCAAGCAGGGUUUGGAAGGCACGUGGUGUGUUUGCUGAUGGCCUGUGGAGUAUCUGCAUGAUGUCCUGAGCUGCCAUGCAUUGAACAGUGGAUUUGAAAGUAACGGAACUGGAACUCAUUUGGGCUUGGCAGCUGAUAGGUCCUGUUUCAGCAGAACUGGCUGGAGAGAAGUGCUGUUCAGACAAAAAAAUAAAUAAAUCGCUGACAAUUUUG